AACCCAUUGUAAAACUGUUAUACUUCAACAGAAAAGAAAAAGCACAAUUGUUUAGAAUGACAACAAGAUUACCACCCAUACAUAUUCAGGCCAAAAUGUAGAACAUAAUGCAGUGUAUGAACCACCACAGUGGUUUGCUUAAUGGUCCAUCUGGGAAAGAUCAAUGAUUCUGCACAGCGUUCUGACUCUACAAUGGCUAACUGGAUGCCUCAAUCAAGUUCAGCUGGUGGGUCGAGAUUGUAAUAGCAUCCUCUGUCAGUCCUUAGAAUCUGGAAGUUGGAGAAGUAUUGCCUAUGAAGGUGAACAUGCUGGAAACCCACUGAGUCAGCAUCCCCAAAUCUACACUAUCCAAACUCUAACAAACUCAAACAGUGAGUGCUGACUGAUUGAAGCCAGAAGAAGAAGGAAGAGGAGAAGGAAGAAGUCGUCAGUAUCCUUGGGUGAAUCCUGCAGAAGUACAAAAACUUCGCUUUAAAAGGAUGCAACUCACUGAUCUCCAAAACAGCCAAACAAGGACUAAGCAUUCUUAGUGGCCUCCAGGACACAGAAUGCUGAGUGCUGGUUGGGAAUGAAACUCAGGAGGCCUGGGUGGGUGGGUUGGCGUUAUUGAGUCUUUUACAGUUUAUAGUAUACCAGAGGAAAGCAUGGCUAGGUUUGCAUUAUGCAGACCAGGCGCAGGCUAAGGUUCACUGGCAAUAUCUUUAAAUGGAGCUUGAGCAACACUUACUGUUCCAUAGAAUGUUAACUGUUCAAUUCAUGAAGUAAUGGAAUCCCCCCUUAGUCUGGAGGCUGAAGUCAAGCAACAUUGACAGCAUACUUUUUCACAAUAUGGAAAGAAGGGUCAUGAUUUUUAUUUUUGUAUGUCAUUGGCAUAUGACAAAUGGAUUUGCCCUGCCAAAUCAAGAAUGAAAAAUAAGAGAAUCUUGUUUUAUAGAACUAGGUUGCUGGUCAGAACUGGAGAUAUUUCAAUCAACCAAAUUAUUAUGCCAGCUAUAAAUUUCCGUUUUGGGGGAAAUGAGUUGCUAAACUAAAUAUUGUGGAAUUCAAAACCAGCAGUACUUUCUGAUCCAUAAACUUUGAUUAUGGAAAUAAACUCUCUGCAUUAUGGAAGUCGAAUGGUAGUUUCUCUUGGUUUCUUUUUUUAAGGACAAAUACUAGAUUUUAACACAACACAGUUUGUUUCCCCCCAGCCAUGCCCACCCGUCACUUACCUGAUGUCACCUGUUUCCUAAAACCUAGGUAAAAGCCAUUGCUGCAAAGGAGCAAUCAGAUUCUUUAGUGUGUGCUCCUGACUGUUCCUUGGCAGUGGGCCUUGUAUUUGAGGCUGUUUAAAUUAAGCACCAAAUGCAAAGCCCACUAUAAUUAGUUCUACCUGAGCGUUCUCAGUUGGAGCAUCCAAGAGGAACGGAUCAUUGCCGUAAACAGCAGGCCUUGCACUUGGCUCUGAACUUAAACAGAGCUGAAUGCAAGUUUCAUUGCAAAGAAACAAAUGGAAGUGUGGCCACUUUUUGAUCUGGCACACCAAAGAAAAGUGGAGCCCCAUCCAUGUAGGAACAGCUGUACUGUAAAGUAAAUCCUAAUGCUUGUGAUGGAAUUUUCCAUGAUCUACCUGCUUCUACCUGCAUGUCCAGUCUCAGAGAAAAGCUUUCGGGGACUAUCUAUUUACAUCCUGGUACUUUAGGUGCAGGGUGCUGCAAGACACCACUUGAUCCCUAGUUCUGUUAACAGCUAUACUGCAGUAGUCAUCAGCAGAUUUGGGGCACAUAGUUAUCACUAUGCUGAUGGUGUGGAGCUCUUUUUCUCUGUUAAAUCUGGUUCAGAAGAUGCUGUGCCUGAAUGCAGUGAGGGUCCAUAAAUGGAAAAUGAACUUUGCUAUGAGAGAGGCACUGUGGGUGAGUGGCUCCCAAGUCCAGGUACUAGGGAUUUUGUUCUACAGUUAUUUUGGGGUUGCAUUCCUCCUGAAGGAGCAGGUCCACCAUUUAGGGGUGCUGUUGAGCCAUCUUUGUCCAUGAAGACCCAGCUGCCAAUUUUCCCCUCCCCAUCUUCAUUUGAAAGAAACGUCCAAGGAAGGCAGGGUGAGAACCUUUGCCCAGUCUGAGAAAAACAAAGAAACCAAUGCACCUCAUUUGAAUACUCCAGACCAAUUUGCAGCCCCCUGAAGCUGCAGGCAGUAAAACAAAGGAGAAAAAUCUGCCCAAAGAUUUCUCACAUAGCUCCAGAAUUUUUAGAUUGCAAAUGCCAUGGAUGUUGUAGUCUGGGCGGGGGUGUGUGUGUGUGGCGGCUCUGGGUUGCAGAAAGCUGUCAUGUGCCAUGGGCAAAAUCCAGCAGGAAUCUGAUAUUUCGUUAUCUUGUUUCAUUUCAAUAAUAAAUGUGUAGGAGAGAUAAUUUUUGUUGGAUGGAAGCUGGGAUGCAGAAACCAGGAAAAGUGAUAAAAGAUUUUCAUUUCUCUUGGUGGAAACUUACUGGUUAAGAUUCACGUCUUUUAUUUAUUUAGCUAUUCCACUUCUAAAGUGUUCCAUUGCAAAGACCAGGUAAGAAGAACAUCACAAUCAGUUCACAUUUCCCUCAGGAACAUUGCUUGGUGCUGUUGCCUUUUAGGUCUCGAGUUACAUCUGCUUUAUUCUAUCUGUAAUAGUUGUUUUAUUGCUCUUCUCUGUCUGUGUCUCCCCUAAUCUGAAUUUUAUAGGUUUAUUUGUUUGCUAACAUAUGGGAAAGAAAAACAUUUGAUUGGAUUGUUGCUGCAUUUUUCUCUUGCCCGUUCUCCAAGGAACAUGCGGUGCCACACAUAGUUUUCUGGGCUGCACACCCACAUGCCAUUUUAUUUGUCCAACAACCUUGUCAAAUAGGCUAGGCUGCAGUGUGAUUGACCCCAGGCCACCCCAUCAGCUUUGUAGCUGAAUGUGACCCAUGACCAUCCAGAGGGCAGAAUUUCUGCUUUUGAUUUCUGACAGCAGAAAACUUCCUUUUAAAAUGGAAACUGCACACACACCUUGCUGGAUGAAGCUGCUGUAAACCUUCUUCUCAUCUGCAAGGUACCUUCACAGUUCCCCCCUCUUAUUUAUUGCAAAAUGUUUUGAUCCAACUCAUUUCUUUGACAAGUAGUGAUCCAAUGCUUAUGUGAGAGAAGCAGAAAACUCGAACAAUGAUCUGUUUGGAGACUUGUUCCCAUGUACGUCUUAUCCACUCUCCUGCAGGUAGAGGAGGGAUUUUAUUUAUUUUUAAAAAAUUAUACCCUGCUUUUCACCAUCUGGAUCAAGUGGCUUACAAAAUAAAAACAUACGGUAUAUAAGAUUUAAAACAGAAAGACCGGAGGAUUGAAACACCAGAAGAUUAAAAUAUCAGAGCAGCAUUCAUGGUGCAAAGACCUCAUGGAACAAAACAGUAUUAUUAUUUCUUAGGAAGUUCAAACUGUCCUAAUUUCCAAGGUCCUGUUUUUCAAGGUCAAGCCUUGAAAAGGCUCCACGCAGGUGGAGUAUUGAGGAAUCAAGCUAAGUAGUGGUCCAGAGACCAGUUGCAAGACGAAGGUGCCGAAAGGCAGAGACUGUGCGACCAAUAAGCUGGCCGAAAACCAGAGUCUGGGAACAAGGGUUCUCAAAGACAGGGCCUUCAGUACCCUGGACAGAUCCUAAGGAAGAGACAACUUGUUCCAAAAGUGUUGGUUGCAGAAUGAGUUCUUAGAUGGCCCCUCAGUCACACUGCCUCUCCCAGGCUCUGCUUCAUUGCUGGUAAAUAAAGAACCCUCUGACCUGAAGGUUGGCACUGUGUUGCCUCUCUGCUAACUCUAAUAAGACAUGCUGCCUGUAGUCAAGCACAGUGGCAUGUGAGGCUCAUAGGGGAAUGUAUGCUGGCUUCUUGGUGGGGUGCAGCUCAGAGACUGCAGUCACUGGGGAGUCCUGGUUCAGAAGUUCCCUGGUUGUUGGACGCAGACUCAGUGGAGUCAGGGUCCAGAUCUAGCAGUUCUUUCAUCCAGCCAUCUUUGUGGAGACCCAAGUGCCAAUUUUUCUUUACCAUAACUUUGAGAGAUAGGCCAAGAUAAUUAUCUUCAUGCUAUAGUUGGACAGCUGAGGCUAAAAGAUAGUGGCUAGUUUUAAGGUAGUUAAAUAUGUUCUUAGCAGAGGUGAUAAACCCCAAACAUUUUUGGUCAGCCUGCUAGCUGCUACCUACCAGUUAACCCCUCUCCUUGCUUUGAGCAAAUGUCAGAUUCCGAAAUUGUAGAAUUGACAGGAUAAACCACGAACUUAUCAUAACCAUAGCCCAAUAAUAUUAGAACAUUGCAAUUCUACUAGUGGCAUUAGCCAGACACAUUGUUGUAGAAUAAAUGUGUUGAGCUUUUAAUAUCUAUCACCGCAUAUUAUUACUACAUAGUACAUAUCUCAAUAUACAAAAAAAGCAUUGUGUGUUUCACUUUGCAGUUGUUCCUUAUUCUUAAACAUGCCUAAAGCUCUAUAUGACACAGUUUGACAUCCAUGAAUACAUCACCUGAACAUUUAAGAAAUAUUGGGAAAGUGCUGUGCUUUACCCUACCCCCACCCCCCAAUAUGGCAAAAUGCACACUGUUGUAAACAUAGUUAAACUUACAUUUAUUUAAUGGUAUCACUUUUCACAUUUAGAUUGUAUACAACAUACGGCUUAUUUCAGAAGGGGGCCACACAACCCCGGUAAACACAACUCUCCUCACAUUUUUUUCACAACAUGAAUUAAUACUGUACUGAAAAUACUUAGAGAUUCUUGACCAUUCUAAUCAAGGCCUGCCUUCACCACCACCCCUCUGCUGCUGUUGUUGAAAAUAUAAAAAUCCUUCGCUUUGCUCAUUUAAUAGAUGUGCAGCAUAAUCCAAGCAUGUCUUAUAUAAAAUGGAGGGGAUUCCUCUCCCAGCCUUCAUGAAUCCCCCUGCAAUGAAGAGCCCUCUUAAUUCUCCUUGAGUUUACAUUUACUUUUACAUAUUGGUUUACAUUGUGGGGGGGGGGGGACGACAACAUUUAGAUGCUGUUUGUGUUUUCAUCUGGACUCUGAGAUUUAGGGUUUGCCAUCCUUUUUUAUGCAAAACAUAACCCAUAUGGCUUAAUUAGGCCUAUUAAGGAGAUUCAAGGCUUUCUGGCUCUUGUGUGUAAACUAGGGUGGGAAGAAGGAGAGGCACACAUGGGGGGAGAAAAAGGUAGUUUCCAGGGCUUUGGGAGUCAUUUUGACUAAGAGCAGCAGGAGUGGAAUUCAGGGCAGGGCAGGGAGGCCCAGACUAUUUAGUUAUUUUAAAGGAUGAGAGCUAUUAUUAUAUUGGAGUCUCAAAUCCAUAUGGAGGGAGGAUAAUACUUAAAAUAAAUUUGUGAAUGUUUAAAAUGGUAACUGUUGUUGCUAGACUAUAGUAGAACAGUGAGUCAGGAACUCCAUUUCCCAUCAGGCUGUCCUGCUUGGAUGGAAGAAGGCUAUGUCUCUCUCGGGGAAGUCUGUUGCUCUCUUCUUGGUCUCUCCAGUUAAAUCUUUAAAAGUCUGAACUGUGGGAAGUUUGAAGGUAGACUUGCUACUUUUUGUAAAGGCUAAAUUGUGGUUGAAUGGAAGCCCAAUCAGCCCGUUGGGGGUAGCUACUCUACUUAACUGGCAAUAUAGGCACUGCUUAAUGAUCACAUCAGACAUAGGACAGGACUUGCCCAUAGGGAUUCUGGGUUUUUCUAUAGGCAGACAGUAUCCCAUGUUUUACCAAAAAGUUUGUGUCUUAUCAGGAUGUUCUCCUGCAGAAGGAUCCAAGAGAAGCUUUGUUUGUUUGUUUUUAAAAAAGUAAAAGUAAAUAAUCUUCCCAGUUCCCAGUUCACUAGCUGCCACUGGUUGGCAGGGGAUAUUCAGGCCAAUUCUCCAGUGAAACAUAGUUCAGGACAAAGUGGGUGCCAGGAAUUCAGUGCAAGCUGCUAUUAUUGAUAUUAUUCUGACCUGGGCAUUGAGAUGUGGUGCACAAUGCCAAAUGCUGAAAGACCUGCAAAAUGGAAACAUAAAGAAUGUCAACGAGCUGUUGCAAAAUACUAAGCUGACAAGUGAGUUUGCCAAGCAGCCUUCACUGCCUGCUGUUGUGACCACUAUUGUCUCGAUUGUCAAUCCCAUACAGGAAUUGGAGUUACACUGCCAGGAAAAGGAUAUGACAAAACCUGAAAGCAGAAUGGGGGGAAACCAACAACCAUCGAAAAGGGAGUGAGUUAGCUUGUAAAAAAAAGCUUUCCAGAAUUAGAAUCUCCUGCACAGCUAAGAAUAGGAAGACGUGUCAGCGUGUCGCCUGUAAAAUGUGUUGAGAAUGUAUAGAGGAAGCAAAGAAGUACUUUAAGAAUCAGUACUGUGUUGACUUCACUGGGAUCUGACAGAAAUGGUCAUUUUAAAAGAAUUGUGAAUCACCUCAAUUUGGAAGUGCAUCAGCGGGCAAUAGAGCUGCACUGGGAGAAAAGCAGUGAUAAAUAUCCAUGGCUGAAAAUACGGAAGACGCAAAAUGCAGAAAAUAUCAAAUUCACAGUCACUUUGGCAUGUGGGGAGACUAUUUCUGCAUAUCUGUGGCCAUCCUGGUCCUUGAUCACUCUUGCUACCAACCGCUUAGAGUGCCUUAUGAAUGAUGAAAGACCUGAUCAUGAAACUACCAGCAUUUAAUCACUGUAGAGAUCUUGUUUAUUACAGAGAAGUGUUGGCAAGUAUCAGUGCCACAGAACUAAAUUGAAAAUUUGAUGAAUGUUUGGCAUUCAGUAUUCCCAUUGAUGGCAGUGUCAGCAAACAGAAGAUAACAAAUGUAUUAGUUGUAGAACUGCAAUGACAAAUAGAAAUUGGAGAAAUCUUUUCCUACUGAUGCAUCUGCCAGAGCAGAAUAGGGCUAAAGGUUUGCUUGAAGCCCUGAAAUAAUGUAGUUUCUGAUGAACUACAUGAAAGAAGUCCGGAAAUAAUGUAGUUCUGAUGUCAAGAAACGGAUGGAAAUGACUGGAGAAUCAGCGAAGAACUCUGGUCUUGGGAAACAUUUAAGAGAUCAGCACAUUAGAGAAAGUUUGACUUUUUGGUGCUGUGCUCACUGAUCAGACCUUGCUGCAUCAUCACCACUGUUCCAGAGCUGAAGAUCUGGAAGGCUAGCCUAUUAGCUUGGAACACCUACUUCCACACAUC
rnacentral:lncRNA from 1 species